rnacentral:rRNA from 1 species
CAGUCGCCACGGGAAUACGAAGGGUGCAAGCGUUAAUCGGAAUUACUGGGCGUAAAGCGUGCGCAGGCGGUUUGUUAAGACAGAUGUGAAAUCCCCGGGCUCAACCUGGGAACUGCAUUUGUGACUGGCAAGCUAGAGUGUGGCAGAGGGGGGUGGAAUUCCGCGUGUAGCAGUGAAAUGCGUAGAUAUGCGGAGGAACACCGAUGGCGAAGGCAGCCCCCUGGGCCAACACUGACGCUCAUGCACGAAAGCGUGGGGAGCAAACAGGAUUAGAUACCCCCGUAGUCCCUGUCUCUUAUAC